AAAAUUAGAGUGUUCAAAGCNGGCAGAUNNNNNNUCUGCCACCGAAUACAUUAGCAUGGGAUAAUGGAAUAGGACCCUGUCCUCCUAUUUUCAGUUGGUUUUGGCAGCGCGAGGACUAGGGUAAUGAUUAAUAGGGAUAGUUGGGGGCAUUAAUAUUUAAUUGUCAGAGGUGAAAUUCUUGGAUUUAUGAAAGAUUAACUUCUGCGAAAGCAUCUGCCAAGGAUGUUUUCAUUAAUCAAGAACGAAAGUUAGGGGAUCGAAGACGAUCAGAUACCGUCGUAGUCUUAACCAUAAACGAUGCCGACCAGCGAUUAGGAGACGUUGAAUACAAAACACCACCAUCGGUGCGGUCGUCCUUGGCGUCUCGGUUUCUGCCGGGG
rnacentral:rRNA from 1 species